rnacentral:rRNA from 1 species
UACGUAGGGGGCAAGCGUUGUCCGGCAUCAUUGGGCGUAAAGAGCGUGUAGGCGGCUCGGUAAGUCCGCUGUGAAAGUCCAGGGCUCAACCCUGGAAUGCCAGUGGAAACUGUCGAGCUAGAGUCCGGAAGAGGCGAGUGGAAUUCCUGGUGUAGCGGUGAAAUGCGCAGAUAUCAGGAGGAACACCAAUGGCGAAGGCAGCUCUCUGGGACGGUACUGACACUGAGACGCGAAAGCGUGGGGAGCGAACAGG